GUAGGUGAACCUGCGGAAGGAUCAUUAGUGAAUAUUAGGGCGUCUACUUGUAGAGCCUGACCCUCCACUUCUAACACUGUGCAUUAUUCGGUCAUCUGGCAAAGCAUCUUCGGAUGUGGAGCUGUUUGGCUAAUUUUACCAUUAAACAUUAGUAUCAGUAUGUAACGAAAUAUCGAAACAAAAAAAAACUUUCAACAACGGAUCUCUUGGCUCUC
rnacentral:misc_RNA from 1 species